CAGGGCCAGCUGAACUUCUGCAUCGUGGUGGUGGAGCCGUACGAGCACGGGCUCAACCGCGUGUUCAUCAAGAGCAAGGACGAGCGCGUGCGCGGCACGUUCCUGGCGCACGCCGACACGCACGUCGUGUCCGACUGCAACGUGGCGCUGCUGGCGCGCCAGCUCGCGCUGCACGCGCACCUGGCGGCGCAGAUCUCGCAGUCGCUGACGCUGGGCGGCGCGGCGUACGCGUCCAACUCGCUGGAGCGCCUGCGCCUCAUCAAGCGCCUGCGCCGCCGCCUCGAGGCCGAGCGCCUGGCCGCCGCCGCGCGCCCGCCCGCGCCCUACGCGCCCGCGCCGCCGCCCGACCAGGCGCUGCGCGUCGCCGUCGACGACUUCAACGCCUACGCCUAGACCGCCCGCCCCGCUCCGCCCUGCGCGAAGUCGCGAUGGCGAUGGAACGACCGACAUGCGAUUGAGACGAUUUUGAGCUGUAAAAAAAUCAAAAGAGAAACGCGACGCGACAACCGUCGCCUCCGGCUUUCUGUCGUCGAUGCGCGGAACGUGUCGGUCGCGCGGGGCGGCGGCGGCGUCCACCUCCGAUCGGAACCGAAAAUGUGUCCACGACUUUACGUCGACGUAAACGCGGGCGUGCAAACAUUUUCGGGUCCGACCGCGCGCGGGAGCGGCCCCGCGUUACGAAGAUAAUGUUAUAAUAAUGUAUGUACUCGUGAUGGUAUGUAAAAAUUAACUUAGCACAAAACGGUGUGUGCUAUGCGACAAAAUUAAUGAUUCUCACAUGUAUUUCGCCGCCCGCGUGAAUUAUUUUAGGAUAGUCUCGAUAAACUGUUGAGACGGAAAGUGUGAAAUUUAUUAUCUAUAGGCAAAAAUGAACUGUAUUUCGAGCUAAAUCCGAUUAACUGAUAAGGUCCUUGAAAUCACAUUUUUUUGUAGGUCAAAGGACCGAUUCUGAUUCACGAAAUGUUAACGAUAGCCUUGGCGAUUGGAAGUCGUGCAUGCAUAAUUUUAUUACAUACACCUAAAUUUAGUUUUCCCUUUUUGUAAAAGUUCAGAAUCGGCCCUGUGCCUGCACGAAGCCACUCGCACCGGCGCGCUGCCCCGCCGCGUGUUUAUGUGAUGGUUGACAGCUUGCAUUGCACGACUUGCAAUUUAUAGAAUUAGAAGGGUUUAGAUACUCGCCCCGCCAGAUGUAUCUGUAAGAUGGAGCGACCUGCAGCGCGCCGCUAGUGUAAUUUUAUGUAUGGUAAAUAUUUCAUGGUGACUUUCGUCAAAGUUGGCCCGACUGAUGUUCCAAAGAUUAGUAAAGCAAACCGGAUAUGGGUGUUAAUUUUUUCAUUUGAGCAAUAUUAUGGAAGGCUGCGCGCAGACUGAUCUGAAUACGUUUUUUCUUGAUCUUGGCGAUAAAUAAGUGAGUCUUUGUUGGAGUCCAUCGCACUUUGUAUUUCUGUUUGAUUGUUCAAGAAAAUACGGAUACUACCGAAACUAUAGACGGAAGCGGCUUUGGCCUAACUUUAGCCCUUAAAUGGAGCACUCAGCGUUCUGUUCACAAAGAAAUCUGUAAAGUGAAAGCUCUUCACGUGUAUAGUUUAGCUAGCAUCGACGCCCGUUUAAUCACUAAAUACCUAAAACAAAACCACUUCGAUGCAAAGAUCUUCGCGGCGUCUGCGCGCAGCCGAGGCAGCUAGCGCAAGCCAGUCGGUGAGCACUCCGUGACGUCAUCAACGCAACCGUCCCGUCCGGGCGACGCUUCGCGGCGGCAGCGAACCGUUGGUUCAUUUCAAAACUCGCAGCGUCCCGAGCGGCUCCGGCGGGAGCUGCGCGACGGUGGUAUAGUAUUUUGUUAUAAUAAACACAAGCUUUAACCGUAGUGCACCGCCGCCGCGCCCGCCCCGGCCGCUGCCGCCGCGCGCGCCGCCCGCCCUCGGCCAGACGCGAACACGACUGCAGUUGUAACGUAAUACCCGCGAGAAGCACGUUUACCGAACACGCACCUUAAUAAUUUUAUCAUCCUAAAUAAAUACAUUGUAUUUUAAUCUAUUACAUUUUUAAAAUUUUUUGUGUGAGAUGUGAUAGUAGCGUAACAUUAUAAAUAAAAUAUGAAAUAGUAAUAUGAGGUACAUUAUCAAACUGGCAAGUUUUCUACUCGAUUCGCUACGCUUUCGGGAUCUCGGGGCCUCGAGCGCUCCCCCGCCCGGAGAAGCCCGGCCCGCGACGAGCGGCCGCAGUAUACGUUGCACCGGACGCAGAGCCGCGCCUCUAUAGGGUAUCAUAUUAAGUAAUGUCGCCGACCAAAGUAUGUAAAACCGAGCUCACAGCGUGCACUAAUUAAUAAUAGUUCGAUGUAAAGCAUGAUAUCUACCGUAACCGUUUAAUUUAUAUUUCUGCCUAGACUGUUUGUGGCUUACUACCGACAGUGCCGGGCGGUUUCGCUCGGCCUCACGCCGCACUCAUCGUUAAGCAGUUGAGCAUUUCUUGUUGAAAUAUUUUAUGUAGCAAUUUAUUUCCUGACGAAAGAUUUUGUAAUCAAAUAAAUGAUGGCUAUUU